UACGUAGGGUGCAAGCGUUGUCCGGAAUUAUUGGGCGUAAAGAGCUCGUAGGCGGUCUGUCGCGUCUGCCGUGAAACCCGAGGCUUAACCUCGUGGCUUGCGGUGGAUACGGGCAGACUAGAGGUAGGUAGGGAGAAGUGGAAUUCCGGUCGUAGCGGUGAAAUGCGCAGAUAUCGGGAGGAACACCGGUGGCGAAGGCGGUUCUCUGGGCCUUACCUGACGCUGAGGAGCGAAAGCGUGGGGAGCGAACAGG
rnacentral:rRNA from 1 species